GUUGGAGGGUUGCCCGAGUAGCACGGGGCCCGAGGAAUCCCGUGUGAAUCUGCCAGGACCACCUGGUAAGCCUGAAUACUACCUGUUGACCGAUAGCGGAUCAGUACCGUGAGGGAAUGGUGAAAAGUACCCCGGGAGGGGAGUGAAAUAGUACCUGAAACCAUGUGCCUACAAACCGUUGGAGCCUCCUUGUGGGGUGACAGCGUGCCUUUUGAAGAAUGAGCCUGCGAGUUAGUGAUACGUGGCGAGGUUAACCCGUGUGGGGAAGCCGUAGCGAAAGCGAGUCUGAAUAGGGCGAUUGAGUCGCGUGUCCUAGACCCGAAGCGGAGUGAUCUACCCAUGGCCAGGUUGAAGCGCGUGUAAGAGCGCGUGGAGGACCGAACCCACUUCAGUUGAAAAUGGAGGGGAUGAGCUGUGGGUAGGGGUGAAAGGCCAAUCAAACUCCGUGAUAGCUGGUUCUCCCCGAAAUGCAUUUAGGUGCAGCGUCACGUGUUUCUUCCCGGAGGUAGAGCUACUGGAUGGACGAUGGGCCCUACAAGGUUACUGAC
rnacentral:rRNA from 1 species